rnacentral:rRNA from 1 species
UACGUAGGGUGCGAGCGUUGUCCGGAAUUAUUGGGCGUAAAGAGCUCGUAGGCGGUGUGUCGCGUCGGCCGUGAAAACCUGGGGCUUAACUCUGGGCGUGCGGUCGAUACGGGCAUCACUGGAGUUCGGCAGGGGAGACUGGAAUUCCUGGUGUAGCGGUGGAAUGCGCAGAUAUCAGGAGGAACACCGGUGGCGAAGGCGGGUCUCUGGACAGUUCCGUGACACUGAGGCACGAAGGCCAGGGGAGCAAACGGG